rnacentral:tRNA from 1 species
GGGAGUGUAGCUCAGUUGUAGAGCACAUGCUUAGCACACAUGACGUCCUGGGUUCAAUUCCCAGUGCAUGCA